UACGUAGGUGGCAAGCGUUGUCCGGAAUUACUGGGCGUAAAGAGCGCGCAGGCGGCUGGUCAAGUCCGAUGUGAAAGCUCCCGGCUUAACUGGGAAAUUGCAUCGGAAACUGAUCGGCUUGAAGGUGGGAGAGGGUAGUGGAAUUCCCGGUGUAGUGGUGAAAUGCGUAGAUAUCGGGAGGAACACCAGUGGCGAAGGCGACUACCUGGCCCGCGCUUGACGCUGAGGCGCGAAAGCUAGGGGAGCGAACGGG
rnacentral:rRNA from 1 species